rnacentral:rRNA from 1 species
AACGAACGCUGGCGGCAUGCCUAACACAUGCAAGUCGAACGAGACCUUCGGGUCUAUUGGCGCACGGGUGCGUAACGCGUGGCAACCUGCCCUUAGGUCCGGAAUAACUCCCCGAAAGGGGUUCUAAUACCGGAUAAUCUCUUCGGACUAAAGAUUAAUCGCCUUUGGAUGGCCCCGCGUUGUAUUAGCUAGUUGGUAGGGUAAAAGCCUACCAAGGCGACGUUCCAUAGCUGGUCUGAGAGGAUGAUCAGCCACACUGGGACUGAGACACGGCCCAGACUCCUACGGGAGGCAGCAGUGGGGAAUAUUGGACAAUGGGCGAAAGCCUGAUCCAGCCAUGCCGCGUGAGUGAUGAAGGCCUUAGGGUUGUAAAGCCCUUUUACCCGGGAUGAUAAUGACAGUACCGGGAGAAUAAGCUCCGGCUAACUCCGUG